UUUUUUUUUUUUUUUUUUUUUUUUAAAAAACUUUUUGUGGUCAAAAAAAAAAAAAAAAGGUAGAAC
rnacentral:ribozyme from 1 species